UACUACCGAUUGAAUUAUUUAGUGAAAUCUUCGGACCGAUAGCCGGAGCGGCCUUUCGGUUGCGCCGGUGUGUUGGAAAGAUGACCAAACUUGAUCAUUUAGAGGAAGUA
rnacentral:rRNA from 1 species